rnacentral:rRNA from 1 species
GACGUAGGGGGCCAGCGUUGUUCGGAAUUACUGGGCGUAAAGGGUUCGUAGGCGGUGCGGCAAGUUGGGAGUGAAAUCUCUGGGCUUAACCCAGAGGCUGCUUCCAAAACUGCUGUGCUUGAGUGUGGGAGAGGCGAGUGGAAUUGCAGGUGUAGCGGUGAAAUGCGUAGAUAUCUGCAGGAACACCCGUGGCGAAAGCGGCGCGCUGGACCACUACUGACGCUGAGGAACGAAAGCUAGGGGAGCAAACAGG